GUGGGGAAUAUUGCGCAAUGGGGGAAACCCUGACCCAGCGACGCCGCGUGAGGGAAGAAGGCCUUAGGGUCGUAAACCUCUGUUGUGUGGGAAGAAGAGCGUGACGGUACCACACGAGGAAGUCCCGGCUAACUACGUGCCAGCAGCCGCGGUAAUACGUAGGGGACGAGCGUUGGCCGGAUUUACUGGGCGUAAAGGGAGCGUAGGCGGUCAUUUAAGGCAGCUGUGAAAUGGUUUGGCUUAACCGGAUCAUGAGUGUGAAACUGUGUGACUGGAGUGCGGGAGAGGCAAGUGGAAUGCCCAGUGUAGCGGUGAAAUACGUAGAUAUUGGGAAGAACACCGGUGGCGAAGGCGACUUGCUGGCCAGCAACUGACGCUGAGGCGCGAAAGCCAGGGGAGCAAACGGGAUUAGAAACCCGUGUAGUCC
rnacentral:rRNA from 1 species